GACGAACGCUGGCGGCGUGCUUAACACAUGCCAGUCGAACGAUGAAGCCUAGCUUGCUAGGUGGAUUAGUGGCGAACGGGUGAGUAAUACGUGAGUAACCUACCUUUAACUCUGGGAUAAGCCUGGGAAACUGGGUCUAAUACCGGAUACGACCAAUCUCCGCAUGGGGUGUUGGUGGAAAGCGUUAUGUAGUGGUUAUAGAUGGGCUCACGGCCUAUCAGCUUGUUGGUGAGGUAACGGCUCACCAAGGCGACGACGGGUAGCCGGCCUGAGAGGGUGACCGGCCACACUGGGACUGAGACACGGCCCAGACUCCUACGGGAGGCAGCAGUGGGGAAUAUUGCACAAUGGGCGCAAGCCUGAUGCAGCGACGCCGCGUGAGGGAUGACGGCCUUCGGGUUGUAAACCCCUGUUAGCAGGGAAGAAGAGAGAUUGACGGUACCUGCAGAGAAAGCGCCGGCUAACUACGUG
rnacentral:rRNA from 1 species